UUUGCACAAGGAGAAGGUGCCCUUGUCUCCUGGAGAGAAGUUGCUCUCAUCUCCAAGGAAGCCAGACUUGAAGAGGAGAGCCAUGAGGAGUUCAGAGGAGUCCCCAGGAGAGAAGAAGAGAGAAGACAACGGGGAUUUUCCCAAAAAGAAAAAGAAAUGAAAAGAAUCCCAACAGAUGUCAGCUUCCAGCAAGCAAAGGCACCAACAAACUGAACCUUUUCUGCUGAACAAAGCUGAACAAAGCAAGAUGACCAAGAGCCGGCCUGCCCUCAUACACUGAAUGAGGCAGAGUUUGCAGUGACCCAGACUGGAACCCAAGGGCCAUACGUGGUUCUCCAGGAUGUAAAUAGUUCCAAGUUCUCUGCUCCUUUGAAGCCCUAGGAACAAUUUUGUUGUUUUUGUUUUACUUUAUAGUUCAAUGCAAAGAAGCUGCAUCAUAUUUUUGUUUCAAAUACAGUUGUAAGUUCUUUUGGUUA